rnacentral:siRNA from 1 species
ACCCCUCUUGAUUUACCGCUCCCU